rnacentral:lncRNA from 1 species
GUUGAGACUUGAAUGAAAUCCAUUCAAUGUUUGAGAUCAAUUAGUACAUAUAGCUUGUCUUAUAAAGGAUAAUGAAAUCAUUCAACGGUUGAAAUCGAAUAGUCCAUUCAAUCGUAUCUCUAUAAAUGUGAAUCCCUCAUUCAAUUCAGUUCAUCGUAAGUACGAAUUUCAAUAUUGGAGGUCCAUCAAAUAUUUCAUCUUCUGCUUCAUCUUCAUUAUCCGGCGGUGAAAGUGAUAAUAAAGUAACACUUUCAAAUGAGCUUGAAUAUAUAAAUGUGAAUCCCUCACUCAAUUCAAUUCAUCGUCAAGUAUGAAUUUCAAUAUUGGAGGUCCAUCCAAUAUUUCAUCUUCUGCUUCUGACAGUGAAAGUGAUAAUGAAGUAACAUUUACGAAUGAGCUUGAAUCUAUUGGUGCAGAACAAGAAGCGAUUCUUCGCAUUUAUUCCAACGACAUCCUUGUUGAUCAUUAUUUCAGUCAAUAAAACAGCGAACCGAUCCAUGAAGGUUCCACUUACAGUCAUGUGAUAAUCCACCAGGAUCGAAAAAUGUUGAUAGAAAUAUGUUUGAUGACUAUUUUUCUAAGACGCCAUGUUAUAAUGAAAAUUUAUUUAGUCGAUGAUUUCGAAUGUCUUGAAGUUUAUAUGUAUGUAUUCUUGAGGCCAUGCAAGAUCAUGACAACUAUUUCGUACGGAGAAGGGACUCGAAUUAUCAGCUUAUUAAAAAAUAACAGUUGUAUUUCAUUCGUAUGGAGUCGUAGCAGAUGCUAUAUAUGAAUACAUUAAAAUAGGAGAAUCCACUGCAACUCAAAGUUUUAAGAGAUUUUGUCGUGCUAUUGUGGAGGUGUUUGGAGAUCAAUAUCUAAGAUCCCCUAAUGCUAAUGACAUUAUGAGGCAACUCUGUAUUGGUGAAUAAUGUGGUUUUCGAGGAAUGCUGGGUAGUCUAUAUUGUAUGCACUAGAAGUGGAAAGAUUGUCCAAUGGCUUGGGCAAGACAAUAUGCAAGUCCUAGUAAAACGCAACUAUUGUUCUUGAGGUUGUAGCUGAUUAUAAUCAUUGGAUUUGGCACGCAUAUUUUGAUUUACCAGGUUCCAACAAUAAUAUUAAUGUGUUGGAGGCAUCUCACCUUUUCGCGAACCUAAUCGAAGGUAUUGCUCCUCCCGUUCAUUAUGUUAUUCAAGGAAAUGAA